rnacentral:rRNA from 1 species
AGCGAACGCUGGCGGCAGGCCUAACACAUGCAAGUCGAACGGAUCCUUCGGGAUUAGUGGCAGACGGGUGAGUAACACGUGGGAACGUGCCCUUUUGGUUCGGAACAACUCAGGGAAACUUGAGCUAAUACCGGAUGUGCCCUUCGGGGAAGAUUAUCGCCAUUAGAGCGGCCCGCGUCUGAUUAGCUAGUUGGUGAGGUAAAGGCUCACCAAGGCUUCGAUCAGUAGCUGGCCUGAGAGGAUGAUCAGCCACACUGGGACUGAGACACGGCCCAGACUCCUACGGGAGGCAGCAGUGGGGAAUCUUGCGCAAUGGGCGAAAGCCUGACGCAGCCAUGCCGCGUGAAUGAUGAAGGUCUUA